CAUGAAGAACGCAGCGAAAUGCGAUAAGUAGUGUGAAUUGCAGAAUUCAGUGAAUCAUCGAAUCUUUGAACGCACAUUGCGCCCCUUGGUAUCCCGAGGGGCAUGCCUGUUCGAGCGUCAUUUCACCACUCAAGCCUGGCUUGGUGUUGGGCGACGUCCUCUUUGGGGACGCGCCUCGAAACGCUCGGCGGCGUGGCACCGGCUUUAAGCGUAGCAGAAUCUUUCGCUUUGGAAGUCGGGGCCCCGUCUGCCGGAAGACCUGCUCGCAAGGUUGACCUCGGAUCAGGCAGGGAUACCCGCUGAACUUAAGCAUAUCAAUAAGCGGAGGA
rnacentral:misc_RNA from 1 species